rnacentral:rRNA from 1 species
ACACGUAGGGGGCGAGCGUUGUUCGGAAUCAUUGGGCGUAAAGGGCGUGCAGGCGGUCCUGCAAGUCCGGCGUGAAAGACCCCGGCCCAACCGGGGGGACGCGCUGGAAACUGCGGGGCUUGAGUACAGGAGGGGAUGCCGGAAUUCCAGGUGUAGGGGUGAAAUCUGUAGAUAUCUGGAAGAACACCAAUGGCGAAGGCAGGCAUCUGGCCAUGUACUGACGCUGAGACGCGAAGGUGCGGGGAGCAAACAGGUUUAGAUCCCCUGGUAGUCCGCACAGUAAACGAUGUGCACCAGGUGGCGGGGGGUCGACCCUCGGUACCGUAGCUAACGCAUUAAGUGCACCGCCUGGGGAGUAUGCUCGCAAGGGUGAAACUUAAAGGAAUUGACGGGG